AAAGGCUCCAUCGGGCACUGAGAAGGGCAGUGAGGAGGCUUAAGCCUGGGCAUGGGGCAGUGCAGCAGAGAGAGCUUCCUCCUGUGCCAGCAAGGACGAGGGCCUGAAAGAAACAAGGCUGCCACCACGGGCCUGCCCAACUCCCCAUCUGCUCGGGGAGAGAAAGGACACCGAGCAGAGGCAGGAAUUCAGGCAAUUAAUCCUUUAUUUAAAGAAUAAUAAACAGCCAGAUUUUACAUGCUGAAAGAGGGAACAAGGUAAAAGGGGUUAAAAACUAAAAAGCAAGGACGGCAGACACCAAUUAACACAAUGCUAAUUGACAAUUUCCCCAAGCCUCCAUGAAACAUGCCAGGCCGAUUUCCCCAAUUGCUAAUUAAAUCAAACCGCACACACAAUACUAAUUUCCCUAACUUAGGGAACUCAGUAGACAAAUAAAAUGAGAAACUAACUUAAACAUUUUGUCAAAGUAUGGGAAGAAGGAUGAAUGAAAUCUUAACAUGAAUAAACGUUGGCUCCAAGUAAAUUUGUUAAAGUUCUGGCAUGUUUAAUGAAGUCUUGAAAUAUCCCAGUAUCUCCGUUCUACUCACAAUCGCAUAAAUGCACUUCUCUAAUCACAAAAUAAUACACAGCAGUCCUCUUAAACUUACGUUCUCUCCCUCUGGUGAAGGGUACCCAGCGCAUCAUGGAAGUGACAUGUAAAUUGCACCAUUUAAAUAUUAUAAAAUACCUACUUAAUUACAAUUAAAAACAAAGGAAUAACUUGUCUUUAAAAUGGUCCCUGAGGUUCUUUGAGCUGGAGUCUGGCUUUGUGAAAAACAGAAGCCAGUCACUUAAUCACAUAGUUGAGUGGAGAGGCAGCCGCCUUGGCUGGCUUUCUCGCAGCCUUCCUUCCCUGGCUCUCCACAAAGCUUGUGGGGCUCUGAUCUAUCUCACAGGCCCCAUCUCCUUCUCUUCCCACCAGCACCCUCUGCAAGCCUGCUCUGAAGGUUCCCCUUUCCCCUCUGUGCCACAUUCAGGGCCCAAGAAACCUCCCUGUUGAAUUAUGUCAUCACAGAAUAGGGACGGGCCUUUAUGAUCAUGUAUCCAAUUCGCUCAUUUUGCUAUUCAGGAAACUCAGGCCAAGAGAUGCUGAUGUGCCGAAGAUUCAACAGCUGGCCUGUGGCCCCAGGCCCUGGUAUGUGAUGUUCCCCUCUCUGUGUCCAUGGAUUCUCAUCGUUCAACUUCCGCUUACAAAGGAGAACAUGUGGUGUUUGGUUUUCUGUUCCUAUGAUAGUUUGCUGAGAAUGAUGGCUUCCAUCUUCAUCCAUGUCCCUGCAGAGGACAUGAACUCAUCCUGUUUUAUGGUAAGCAACACUAUUUUUAAACAAAAUAGAUUAAAUUAUAUAUCUGGAUUUAAAUAUUCAUAGUUCUGUAAAUUAACCUUGAGACUCAUUAAGAUAAGAGGGAUGCUCAGGGUUCGCUGGGGGUCUAGAAAACUAACAGCACAUAUUCAAUAGUGUUUUUCUAUGUUUAUGAUAUAUUAUGCCAAUGAUGUGGCAGGCAAAAAUGCAUUUGUCACAAAGGGUC
rnacentral:lncRNA from 13 species